UUUUCUUUUCCGUUUUUCUUUUUAUUUAUUUCCUUCCCUCGAGCCGAAACCGUGCCCGACUUCUCCUUCUUCCCCCGCGUGCCCGACGCCCUCCUCCGAGCCCUAAUCGCCGAGCGGUUUCUUCCUCUUCCUCUUCCUCCAUUUCCUUCCCGAGCCGCCGCCACAGCCGACACCGCGCGAAGCAGUGCCGACCCCGCGCCGACGCCGCCCUUUCCCGCGUACAAGCCCUCGGCCAAGGAAACCCUAGCGCCGACAAUCAUCUUCCCUCUGCCCUAAUUUUCCUUUGCGUGCCACUACCGAGGGUGAGGUUGCUACUCCCUUCUGUUCUCAGUUUCUCACCGCCAUGUCUCUACUCGGAUUGGUUUUGGACCAGAGCAAGGAGCACGGAGCCGAGGCCCUCUUUCCCCCUGCCUUAUUGUUGACUGCCAUUUUCCUUUGUGCCCUAGCAUCGUCGAUUUUUCCUCCGACCUUCCAGGCCGAAGAUGCCGCGAGCCUAGCACCAAUUUAUCUCUCUGUUUAUCGACAAGAACACACGGGUCCUGGCUUUGGGCAGCGCCACAGUACCAGUUUUCGGAUAUCGAAUUCUUCUUUCUCUCAUUGAUCUGGAUUGGAGAUUAGGGAUUUCAAUCUGCUGCGGCUGAUCUUGGUUCAGCUGAGGGUUUUAAGGAGGAAGCUGUUAAGGACUUUGACGCGAGACGAGCAUCUUGAUGUCGAGUUUGGACCGGAUACGAUUCUUUCC